CCCUUUAAUAGCUUUAAUUUUAUGGUCUUGAACUGUGAGUAUCUGAGAUGUAAAUGAAACUCAAUUUCUCUCUGUAAAUCUGUUUUUGCUUUAUUAGGUACAUAUUUCAUGACUGAAAUCUUAAUUUUUCUCUCCCUUUUUGCUCUAGUAGCUUUUGUUGUUAAUGGUUCAGUUUAUCUUUUUAUAACUUUCACCCUUCCUGUGCCAUUUUGUUUUAGGUAUGCCUCUGUAAACAGCUUUAACUAGGAUUAUUUUUUUAAAUCAAUCUAAAAGUAUCAUUUAGUACAUUUACUCUUAAGUUAUCAUGAUUACUUAUGUCUGAACUUGUUCCUCUAUUUUAUUUUGCAUUUUCUAGUUAGCAGGCUUAAACUUUUCCUAUUAAUGAAUUUAUCAAAUUUUCUUUGUCACUUGACACCCCAUUCUUCUUUAGGUGUAACCAAUAUCUAAUGUUAAGCCACUAUCUCUUCUUUCCAAAAGAAGGUAAGAAAGUUUAGCAUGAUUUCACUUCUUCCCCCAAACUGAUUUAUUUAAAAGUUUAACACUCAGAACUUUUGACAAGUUUUACUAAAUUCUGUUCAUUGUUAUCUGUUGUUUCUUCCUAAUUUAUUUUCUUCAGAGUAGCUGUCCCAGAAAGCAUUUGCAGUAGGAUUGCUGAUAAGAAGAUUGAUGUCAGAGUAUAUAUACUUCCUUCGUAGAUCUAAGCCUGCCUAGCUAGGUGGUGAAGGCUGCCUGGGAUGUUCCUGCUGCAGGACUUCAGUACAUCUUCCUUUCACUGUACCUGGAAACCCUGCUCUCACCUCUGGUGUAGCACUACUUUAUGCUACUUUCAGAUGUCUACUGUUGCUUUAUUCAGUCCAAUCCUGUUUUCAGAACCUAAUUCCCAGGUUUUGGUCACUAAGAACUCUUUUAUUUUUUUAUUUAAAAAAUCUUUUAUUUUCGGGUAUCAGAUUAGGGGUUCUAGCCCACCAAAUCUUAAAAAGGAUACAAAAGUAUUUUAACAUGCCAGUUUCUUAAUA